CGCAAUAUUCUAUCAAUCCACACAUGGGCCGGCACAUCAUACCAGGGUGCCCUGAUCGGGUCAGACCGACAGGGUUGGUAUAUGGGGCUCAUGGAGGCUUAAC
rnacentral:sRNA from 1 species